rnacentral:rRNA from 1 species
UAAUACGUAGGCAGCGAGCGUUGUUCGGAGUUACUGGGCGUAAAGAGUGCGUAGGCGGUGACCUAAGUCUGGUGUGAAAUCUCCCGGCUCAACUGGGAGGGUGCGCCGGAAACUGGGUUGCUUGAGUGUGGGAGAGGCUAGCGGAAUUCCUGGUGUAGCGGUGAAAUGCGUAGAGAUCAGGAGGAACACCUGCGGUGUAGACGGCUGGCUGGACCACGACUGACGCUGAGGCACGAAAGCGUGGGGAGCAAACAGGAUUAGAUACCCUGGUAGUCCACGCCCUAAACGAUGCAUACUUGGUGUGGGUGAUUCAUUUCAUCCGUGCCGGAGCUAACGCGUUAAGUAUGCCGCCUGGGGAGUACGGUCGCAAGGCU